UGGGGAAUAUUGCACAAUGGGCGCAAGCCUGAUGCAGCCAUGCCGCGUGUAUGAAGAAGGCCUUCGGGUUGUAAAGUACUUUCAGCGGGGAGGAAGGGAGUGAGGUUAAUAACCUUAUUCAUUGACGUUACCCGCAGAAGAAGCACCGGCUAACUCCGUGCCAGCAGCCGCGGUAAUACGUAGGUGGCAAGCGUUAUCCGGAUUUACUGGGCGUAAAGGGAGCGUAGGCGGAUGAUUAAGUGGGAUGUGAAAUACCCGGGCUCAACUUGGGUGCUGCAUUCCAAACUGGCAGGCUGGAGUCUUGUAGAGGGGGGUAGGAUUCCAGGUGUAGCGGUGAAAUGCGUAGAGAUCUGGAGGAAUACCGGUGGCGAAGGCGGCCCCCUGGACAAAGACUGACGCUCAGGUGCGAAAGCGUGGGGAGCAAACAGG
rnacentral:rRNA from 1 species